AUCACUUUAGUCUAACAGCUUCAAAUUUAAUUAACUGCUGAUUGUUCCUGAAGAUAUGCUAAGAGAUCAAGAUUCCAAAAAAAUCCAAAGAACGGGGUUUACAGAAGAAGACUGAGUAUUGUCUGACCUCAAGCUUACGGGAUGCCAGACCAGGAUCAUGGCAUCUAUGUUGCUGCAAAGGACAUGCUUUCAUCCUAUUUAUGGCAGCACAGUAUUCCACGGUGACAUGUAACACAUCUUCAAACGGAGUCUUGCUCUGUUGCCCAGGCUGGAGUGCAGUGGUGCGAUCUCAGCUGACUACAAGCUGUGCCUCCCGGGUUCACACAAUUCUCCUGCCUCAGCCUCCCCAGCAGAUGGGACUACAGACGCCCACCAUCAUGCCCAGGAAACACAAGAGACCUAAGUGUUAAACAUCACCAUGGGAAUGCAAUCAGCAUGAUUCAGACUAUGAAAAACUACAUAACAACGCCAGUCUCAGAAUAAAGGAAAAAUAGCAACUUUACAGUGAAGAAAGGUGAAAGAUACCACCUCAAUGAAAUGAUCAAGCCCCUGCACUUGGAUCAGCUGGCACCACCCAGAUCGAUAAACUGGCUCAUCUGAUCUGUGGGCCCCCCACCCAGUGCAAGAGGAUAGCUUCAACUCUGUAUGAUUUUAUCUCUGACCCCACCAAUUGGCACUCCAGACUCACUGUCCCCCACCCACCAAAUUUCCCUUAAAAACCCUGAUCCCAAAUGCUUGGAGAGAUUGAUUUGAAUAAUAAUAAACUCA